rnacentral:rRNA from 1 species
UGAAAGGUGAAGGACCCGGUCUUCGGACUGGGAGCGUACACAGGUGCUGCAUGGCUGUCGUCAGCUCGUGUCGUGAGAUGUUGGGUUAAGUCCCGCAACGAGCGCAACCCUGCUGCCAGUUGCCAACGGGUGAAGCCGGGCACUCUGGCGGGACUGCCAUCGACAAGAUGGAGGAAGGUGGGGAUGACGUCAAGUCAUCAUGGGCCCUUAUGUCCAGGGCGACACACGUGCUACGAAUGGCCGGCACAGCGGGAAGGCGAGGCAGUGAUGGCCAAGCGGAUCCCUUAAAGCCGGUACUCAGUUCGGAUUGAAGUCUGCAACUCGACUUCAUGAAGCUGGAAUCGCUAGUAAUCGCAGAUCAGCCAAGCUGCGGUGAAUACGUUCCCGGGCCUU